CGAGACGUGGGGGGCGGGCCUAACACAUGCAAGUCGAGCGGUAGCACAGAGAGCUUGCUCUCGGGUGACGAGCGGCGGACGGGUGAGUAAUGUCUGGGAAACUGCCUGAUGGAGGGGGAUAACUACUGGAAACGGUAGCUAAUACCGCAUAAUGUCGCAAGACCAAAGUGGGGGACCUUCGGGCCUCAUGCCAUCAGAUGUGCCCAGAUGGGAUUAGCUAGUAGGUGGGGUAACGGCUCACCUAGGCGACGAUCCCUAGCUGGUCUGAGAGGAUGACCAGCCACACUGGAACUGAGACACGGUCCAGACUCCUACGGGAGGCAGCAGUGGGGAAUAUUGCACAAUGGGCGCAAGCCUGAUGCAGCCAUGCCGCGUGUAUGAAGAAGGCCUUCGGGUUGUAAAGUACUUUCAGCGGGGAGGAAGGCGAUAAGGUUAAUAACCUUGUCGAUUGACGUUACCCGCAGAAGAAGCACCGGCUAACUCCGUGCCAGCAGCCGCGGUAAUACGGAGGGUGCAAGCGUUAAUCGGAAUUACUGGGCGUAAAGCGCACGCAGGCGGUCUGUCAAGUCGGAUGUGAAAUCCCCGGGCUCAACCUGGGAACUGCAUUCGAAACUGGCAGGCUAGAGUCUUGUAGAGGGGGGUAGAAUUCCAGGUGUAGCGGUGAAAUGCGUAGAGAUCUGGAGGAAUACCGGUGGCGAAGGCGGCCCCCUGGACAAAGACUGACGCUCAGGUGCGAAAGCGUGGGGAGCAAACAGGAUUAGAUACCCUGGUAGUCCACGCCGUAAACGAUGUCGAUUUGGAGGUUGUGCCCUUGAGGCGUGGCUUCCGGAGCUAACGCGUUAAAUCGACCGCCUGGGGAGUACGGCCGCAAGGUUAAAACUCAAAUGAAUUGACGGGGGCCCGCACAAGCGGUGGAGCAUGUGGUUUAAUUCGAUGCAACGCGAAGAACCUUACCUGGUCUUGACAUCCACAGAACUUAGCAGAGAUGCUUUGGUGCCUUCGGGAACUGUGAGACAGGUGCUGCAUGGCUGUCGUCAGCUCGUGUUGUGAAAUGUUGGGUUAAGUCCCGCAACGAGCGCAACCCUUAUCCUUUGUUGCCAGCGGUUAGGCCGGGAACUCAAAGGAGACUGCCAGUGAUAAACUGGAGGAAGGUGGGGAUGACGUCAAGUCAUCAUGGCCCUUACGACCAGGGCUACACACGUGCUACAAUGGCAUAUACAAAGAGAAGCGACCUCGCGAGAGCAAGCGGACCUCAUAAAGUAUGUCGUAGUCCGGAUUGGAGUCUGCAACUCGACUCCAUGAAGUCGGAAUCGCUAGUAAUCGUAGAUCAGAAUGCUACGGUGAAUACGUUCCCGGGCCUUGUACACACCGCCCGUCACACCAUGGGAGUGGGUUGCAAAAGAAGUAGGUAGCUUAACCUUCGGGAGGGCGCUACCACUUUGGAUACCUGGCU
rnacentral:rRNA from 1 species